ensembl:lncRNA
GUGUUUCCUAGGGGUCCCUAUGAUAGUUGGCUACAUUGCAUGUUUUCUCUUAGCUACUUCAUGUAGCUAACAUAUUCUUGUUUUGCAUAAUCCUCUUUGUUUUAGAAGAUACUGUCGGACAAACAACAUAAUGAUUUAGGUCUACACCAUCACUGGUAUUAUCAGGCUGUGUUAGCUAGCUAUGUUUGCUCUUACUCAGUACGUUUAUUAGCUGUCUAUUAGUGGUUAACAAUUAGCGUCUCACAAGAUUUAGGGCAACUCGCUAAGAAAAGACAAACUAGCUUUUUGCUGAUGUAAGAAACACAAACUAAUAGUAUAAUUUAUAGAACGCUAGUUGAUUUAUAUUAAGAAGCAAAGUGAAAACAGCAUUGUUGUCGUCAACAUUGUUGCAUGUGGUGCAUUGACCAUGCAGACUGAACGCAAAUGUCUAGCGGUUGAGGAACAUCAAAUGCGCUCCUUGAGUAACAGGGGGCGUGGCUAGGUCUGUGUGGAAAGUGGCACGGCGAGAAUGUGGAGAGAGAUGACUCAAGUAGUGAAGUAAACCAUAAUUGACAGUACCCAUGGCUUAUAACAUUUAACAAACCAAACAUUCAAAUACCGGUAUAGAAGGUCAAGUAAAAACCCAAACCUGUCCCUGCAUCAAUACCGGUAUAUUAUAAAAUACGUAUACCUCACAGCCCAAAUUCAUUUCUAUUACUGUUACUGUUAGAUAACUGGAAGGAUUUAUGUGCAACCAUUUAACAACAUUGAGGUAUCUAGCUAUAAGUAAACUCUGAUCAAUCAAAUUAAUCCAUGUAAAUAAUUAUUAUAGCUGGGGUCAUCAUCCGUUAAGGUAAAUAUAAAACAUCUCAGAUAAUAACUAUUUGAAUUUGCACAUAAAAUAACCUAACACUGACAUUUUUCUCUUUAUGUCUUCAUAAAGGUUAGCUCGGUGGAAGCCAACAAUCUUCUCCAGUUGGAGCAGUUGGACGGUUGACCACUGAAAGCCCUGACGCCCUACACUUCGGUGAAGCCUGUGAGACAAAGACCGUCAACUGUCCAAACCACCCAGGAGGUAUCCCAUCCACCAGAGCCAGGAUCAGUCUGAUUCUUUGUGCUCUUGAGUCGGAAGGGGACCAGUUUGAGGUAGGAUAUACAGUACUUAAAAAACUAUUGAAAAGUACAUAUCUCGCCUUCAUAACACUGCACUAAUCCAUCAAAAGUUCUCAAAGGUGGCUUGCGUCAGACUGGAGGAACAGGGUCAGGUAAGGCCAGUCACUGGACUAGAAGACACUAGUGAGGUUCUCAUCACUAGUGUCCAACAGCGGCAGGUAAGGCCAGCUGCUCUCUGUGGCCGGAUGGAGGACCUUUGCGAGGUCAUUCUUCCGUCACACACCUGGUUAGACAAUUUUACAAUUGAUCAUGCUCAAGCUCAAGUACUUUUGCAGGUGCAGCAUCCAGAAGUAGGAGGCCUCCUCGCGGUGGGCGGCAUCGCCAUGCUGUCAACAGUACCAACACUGGCCCAGGGGUUUAUCCAGAUAGUCAGUCUCAAGGCUAACCACUGGUUCACGGGACCUCUUUGACUGUGGAGUGGGCAGCAGUCCAGAAGUAGAAAGGGGGCACAGAUUGUGGGCUGUUUGCUAUUGCUCCCUGCAGAGAUGAGGAACCCUCCAUGGCACGAUACGAUCAGAAAUCCAUGAGAAAACAUAUUUCCUCUUGUUUUCAGGCUGGUUACCUGGCGCCAUUACCCAGUCCCAAUUCCAUCCCGAUUCCAGCCCCCCCCUGGGUCCAGGCCUCUCAAGGUGUCCACACCCUACACAACAGAGGUCAGCAUCCACUGCUUCUGUCGGAAAUAUGUGAGAGAAGAUAAGGAGGUGGCCCGGGGCUGGAGAUGUUGCAAGCAUUUUCAUGCAUCGGUUUGUCUCAUGUCGUCAAUGUGCGUGAAUUUGUCUGUCCAUAGUCCGUCAUCUGUUUUGUCUGAUGAUUUCCUAACCCGUUUUCACUGCUUGCCCGGCUCCUCACCUCAAGACGGUAGGUAUUUUACCACAUUGCAUCUUGUUGUAUAUUGUAUGUUAUUGUAAAUAACCUUAAUAACCUGUUGAGGGUUGAGUCAUCACCAUAUUGCUACACCUAUCCAAGCCCCAUCAGGUCAAACACUACAAAGAUAGAGUAGGGGGUUGAGGGCCUUCAUUAAAGGUUGAGGGCGUCUUCAUCCUUUAACUCUUUCUCUCCUCUCUCUCCAGACGAAAUUCUUCGUCUAGUGACUUCUGAUUGCCCAACAAUCUGCCCACUCAUCCCAUCCCCUCCUCUGUGUCAUUAUAUCAUUUAAAGCUACUGUUAUUGUCAUGAUGUCAUUAUCUGCUAAUAAAGUUUGCU